UACAGAGGUCUCAAGCGUUGUUCGGAUUCAUUGGGCGUAAAGGGUGCGUAGGUGGCGCCGUAGGUCGGGUGUGAAAUUUCGGAGCUUAACUCCGAAACUGCAUUCGAUACUGCGGUGCUUGAGGACUGGAGAGGAGACUGGAAUUCAUGGUGUAGCAGUGAAAUGCGUAGAGAUCAUGAGGAAGACCAGUGGCGAAGGCGGGUCUCUGGACAGUUCCUGACACUGAGGCACGAAGGCCAGGGGAGCAAACGGG
rnacentral:rRNA from 1 species